GUCCCUAUCUGCCAUGGGUGUAGGAAACUUGAGAGGAGCUGUCCUUAGUACGAGAGGACCGGGAUGGACACACCUCUGGUGUACCGGUUGUCGCGCCAGCGGCACCGCCGGGUAGCUAUGUGUGGAAGGGAUAACCGCUGAAAGCAUCUAAGCGGGAAACGAACCUCAAUACCAGGACUCCCUAUCAGAGCCGUUAUAGACUAUGACGUUGAUAGGCUGGGUGUGGAAGUGCGGCAACGCAUGAAGCUAACCAGUACUAAUUGCUCGACCGGCUUGAAUUC
rnacentral:rRNA from 1 species